rnacentral:rRNA from 1 species
AUUGAACGCUGGCGGCAUGCUUUACACAUGCAAGUCGAACGGUAACAGGCCGCAAGGUGCUGACGAGUGGCGAACGGGUGAGUAAUGCAUCGGAACGUGCCCAGUCGUGGGGGAUAACGCAGCGAAAGCUGCGCUAAUACCGCAUACGAUCUAUGGAUGAAAGCGGGGGACCGAAAGGCCUCGCGCGAUUGGAGCGGCCGAUGUCAGAUUAGGUAGUUGGUGGGGUAAAGGCUCACCAAGCCAACGAUCUGUAGCUGGUCUGAGAGGACGACCAGCCACACUGGGACUGAGACACGGCCCAGGCUCCGACGGGAGGCAGCAGUGGGGAAUUUUGGACAAUGGGCGCAAGCCUGAUCCAGCAAUGCCGCGUGCAGGAAGAAGGCCUUCGGGUUGUAAACUGCUUUUGUACGGAACGAAACGGCUCUGGUUAAUACCUGGGGCUAAUGACGGUACCGUAAGAAUAAGCACCGGCUAACUACGUGCCAGCCGCCGCAGUAAUAC